rnacentral:rRNA from 1 species
AUUGAACGCUGGCGGCAGGCCUAACACAUGCAAGUCGAGCGGUUGAAGGGAGCUGGCUCCUGGAUCCGGCGGCGGAGGGGUGGGUAAUGCCUAGAAACCGCCUUGUUAGUGGGGGAUAACGUCCGGAAACGGGCGCUAUUACCGCAUACGUCCUGAGGGGGAAAGUGGGGAAUCUUCGGACCUCCCGCUAUAAGAUGAGCCAAGGUCGGAUUAGCUAGUUGGUGGGGUAAAGGCCUACCAAGCCGACGAUCCGUAACUGGUCUGAGAGGAUGAUCAGUCACACUGGAACUGAGACACGGUCCAGACUCCUACGGGAGGCAGCAGUGGGGAAUAUUGGACAAUGGGCGAAAGCCUGAUCCAGCCAUGCCGCGUGUGUGAAGAAGGUCUUCGGAUUGUAAAGCACUUUAAGUUGGGAGGAAGGGCAGUAAGUUAAUACCUUGCUGUUUUGACGUUACCAACAGAAUAAGCACCGGCUAACUUCGUG